CGGUGAAUACGUUCCCGGACCUUGCACACACCGCCCGUCAAGCCAUGGAAGCUGGGUGUACCUAAAGUCGGUAACCGCAAGGAGCCGCCUAGGGUAAACUAGUAACUGGGGCU
rnacentral:rRNA from 1 species